rnacentral:misc_RNA from 1 species
UUCAUAUCGACCUAGUCGUGUACCGGAAGAAACCCCCAUGUUUCCGUUCGGCGCGGUAAAGACAAUUCUGCCUUCUGUUCUGAAGAUCGACCGAGUGCCUAUCUUAGAUUACUAAUCGAAUCUACGCCACGGAUGCGUCUGGGAAAGUCGACGAGUC